CAGAGAAUAGUUUAAGUAAAAUUUUAAUUUUGGAGAUUAAAGAUAAAAUAAGUAUUUUUUCUCUGA
rnacentral:tRNA from 1 species